UACAGAGGGUGCAAGCGUUGUUCGGAAUUAUUGGGCGUAAGGGUAGGUAGGUGGUCUCAUUUGUCUGAGGUGAAAGCCUUGAGCUUAACUCAAGAAGUGCCUCAGAAACGGUGAGACUCGAGUUCUGGAGAGGGUCGUGGAAUUCCCGGUGUAGCGGUGAAAUGCGUAGAGAUCGGGAGGAACACCAGAGGCGAAGGCGGCGACCUGGACAGAUACUGACACUCAACUACGAAAGCGUGGGGAGCAA
rnacentral:rRNA from 1 species